rnacentral:sRNA from 1 species
UCAAUACGUAACCUACGAGCUUGUGCUCUU